UGGGGUGUAGCUCAGUGGUAGAGCACUUUCUUAGCAUGCGUGAGGCCCUGAGUUUGAUUCCCAACACUACAA
rnacentral:tRNA from 1 species